CGGCACACCCUCUGGGUCCGCCAAUGCGCACACGCACUAGCACCAACUCCACGGCGCAAAUCCAGUCCAAUCCACCAUACCAACGCUAACUAGGGACCUCAGCCACUGGCAGCCAAGCACGCCGGAGGGAGAUCGCGGAGGAGGAGGAGGCCGCGCGCCGGAGUCGGAUCGACCGGCCCGGCCGCGCGGCGGAGGCGGCGCUGCGCGUCCCAUCCAGAUCGACGGGCCGCCCGCGAGGGGUUGGGAGCCGCGGCUUCGGACAAGGGCGCCGCCACCCGGGGCGCGUUUGGGCGGCGAAUCGCUCGAAAUCCCGAUCUGAAACGGAGGGCAUGGAGCAGCCAGUUAGUUCGGCUGGUUCUUCGAAUACGGAACCUUCGGUGCGCAAGAGGAAGAAGCAUUCCACUUCCCCGGAACUCAUUUCCAGCAGCGACGACGAAGAUGAUUUCAUUCCCCCACGGCGAUCCAAGCAUAAGAAUACCCAUGAAUCAAAGGCUGCCAAGGCUAAGAAAGUCUCCAACAACUCUUCCACCAUCCCCACAAAAAAUGACGAGAAGAAGAAGAAGAAGAAGUGUCGUCCCACCAUAAGGUGUGCUCCAGAGUUUAUUAAAUCAGCGAUUGAAAUUCUAAAAGAUUGCCAGAGGAAAAGGAUCAAGAAGUUAGGUUUUGGGUGGGUGCUCAGUUUGACUGUUGAUGCGCUCCGGACAAGGAACCUGCCCGUGUUUCUAAUGGACAAUACAAGUGAAUCCCUUGUGAUCAAUGUUGGCACGCAAGGUGGUCUUAAGAUUACACCCCAUGCUGUGCAUUGUGUCCUUGGCUUACCCAAUGGCGGCAUAGAUCCACCUCCUUUCUCCUGUGCACAAAAAAGAGAGCAACUUUUGACGCUCAAGAAACUACUUGGUGUCCCUAAGCAGAAAAACAUUGAUUUUGAAGUCUUGUACCAACGCAUACGCCUCGGGGGCGAUGACGACUUGACGAUAAGAUGCUUCAUUAUAAUUGUGUUCAAUCGUCUCUUAUUCCCCACUACGAGUAAAUAUAUCACAGGGAGGGAUGCGGCUUGGACUUCUGACUUACACAAUCUCCCAAAUAUUGAUUGGUGCAAGGUCCUUGUUGACGACAUUAGCCACGCUGUAAUUUCCUGGAAGUCCAAGAGAUUGGCUUAUCCCAAGAGAUUGGCUAAUUCCAAGAAAUUGUCUGAACCAACCCUGUCCCUCACUAGUUGCACCCUCUUUUGUAUUAUUUUUUAUUUGGACAACCUAUUAAGUAUGAAUCGGCUUGAUGCAAUUGAAAUCCCACGUAUCGCACACUUCACCAAUGAUAUUAUAGCGAAUAUCUUGCAUGAGGAUACACAGAUAGCUAAUGGCCUUGAAACAUAUGGUAAACUUGCGCUUAGGCCCAAGGAGGGUACCUACUAUUUCGAGGAUUCCCAAUCUCAGCUCUUAUUUACAGCCUGUCCACCUUCCCCGCCGCCUACUGUUCGAGUUCUCACAAAUUAUAGUGACAAUCGUGCUUCAGUUCAUGAUGGAUCAUCUGGUGAACCCAAUGUUAAUGAGAUGAUGGAGGAAACAAAUCUUGAUGUUAGGCACAAGACCAAUGCUACAAUCCUACCUGACAAGAAUCAAGCUCGAUCACCUUCCCUGCUGCCUACUGUUGACAGCAGCAGAGAUGAUCUGGACAACUCUGCUUCAGUUCAUGAUGGUUCAUGUGGAGCUCACGGAGACAUUCACACCAGGCAGGGGAGCGUGUUUAUGACCGCCAAUGCUGUCAGAACAGAUUAUCUCUCCCUGGAGCAAGAACGCAGAAAAUCUCCAAGAGAUAGCCAGCAGUUGCGGUCCAACGGGCCUUCCUCCAAACCUCAGGCUGCCCAAACUACGGAGGGGACGCAAGUUGCUCCAGGCACCUCCAUGGUAAGAAACAGGGGUUCUCUGUUGACGAUGGAGAAAGGCGAUCGGAAGGCCAGAGUGGAAACAAGUUUGCUUGACUGCCGCCUCUGCUUCCGCCCCUUAAAGCCUCCUGUCUUCCAGUGCAAUGGCGGGCAUUCAGCUUGUGGCACAUGCCUUGUCGAGCUCCCUGGCGGACAGUGCCCGAUGUGCAAGCAUGGCGGUGGAGGCUUUGCCCCCUGCCUUGCAAUGGACGGCAUCGUCUCGUCGGCAACGAUAAAGUGCUCCCACGAUGGCUGCCAGAGCCACGUCACCUACCAUGAGCAUGACGAUCACCAUAGUGCGUGCCCACACGCACCCUGCUUCUGCACGGAGCCGGGCUGCAGCUUCGCCGGCCCGCCACCGGCGCUCCUCGGCCACCUUGCCACCCUGCAUUCCUGGCCUGUGCACAAGAUUGAGUACGGCAAGGUUCUCUGGCUUCAGGUUCCGGUGUCAGAACCGCGGCGUCUGCUCCUCGCGGAGGACGGCGGCGUGUUCCUUCUUGUUGUGGGCUUGCUCAAUGCGAUCACUGUUGUGUCAGUGGUGUGCAUCAGGGCCAGCACGUCCCCGUCGCUGCAGUACCCAGCCAUGAUGUGGGCAUAUGGUCCGCCGGACGUUGCAGGCGUCAGAUGUAUGGUGGACACGGAGGCGGUGACGAGCAGCUCCAAGCCCCGCGAUGUCGUCGCGGAGAAGCUGCCAUUCGUCUUGCUUGUGCCGCCUACGCAUGUGUUUGGGGCUGGGGCAUCCAAGGAGUAGUCUCUUGAGAUUCGAGUUAACAAGAUGUGA